AAAAAGGUUGGAAAACUAUGAAAGCUACAGCCUACACAUUGCGAGAAAUGAAAUGGAAAGAUAGAAAAAGUAUGAUAAAAGUCUUCGAAUAUUGGCCAAAUGCUUGAUGUGUACGCAUGACGUAUACCUGCUAAUCAAAGAUGCAAUCAAACAUGGUGGGGCUAAAGAAUAAAGAUCAGGAAUUUUCCAGCUCAAAAGUUGGCAAUGACAACCUUGUUUUUGGAAAUUAGCAUUUUAAUACCCCACCAAAUGCCUAAAUGAUAUGCACAUUGCAGCCACAUCUUGUAUUACAGAAACAGCUUCAUUUUCAGAGCAAUUACUAAGAGAAAAGAGGUUAGGAAAAUGAUGAAUAAUAUUGAUAAUGUGCAAGGUCCAUAACAUGAUUGAAAUGUUCCAAUGAACUCUUCAAACUAAGUUCCUUAAAAGCAUGAAAGAAACAUAAUGCAUUACUCCACAUUAAUCAAGCCUCCUCAACAAGUACUCAACUUCAACUUCCUUCGUUAGGGGCAUGAUCCAGUCGCCAUACAGAUUGACAAGCAAACUUGGCUUCACUUUAUAUAUGGGCUCAGCUUCUUCUUCCUGUGGGUUAAUUAUUAUGUCUUGGCCGAAUGUUUUUGCUUUCAUUUCUACUCUCUUCUUGACUGCUGCUUCCACAGAUUCAUAUGUCAGCAUCUCCAUGAGUUUUCUGCUAUCCUACAAGAACCACAACCCAAGGAUGAUAAUGUGAGAAGUUUUAUCAUCAAAUCAGAGAAUUAUAUAGCCCAGAACAAAAAAUGUUGAACUAGGAAACUACUAGAAGAGCAACCUACUUGCUUUGUAAUAGCAGCCUCAUAUUCAGCAGGGGAUUCUAGGAAUUUAGCCUCAGCCACAAAUUUUCCAUAGUGGAUUCUCCUUGACAUUGCCUGCGUUAGGAAUCAAAGAGGAGAAACAAAUAUAGGUACUGACAUGCCUUGCAGAAAACCACAGCAAUAAAGAAGUAUCUUGAUCCUCAUUAUUUAGAUUGUUGGCAAUUAACCCAGUAGCACCAAAGCAGUAGCAUAAACACUUGCUUGUUACUGAGCUCAAGAAGUAAGUUUAGCAACACACACUCACACUUUAUUAUGGUUCAUAUACCAUGCCAUGCCAGAUUUCAGAGGCACGACUUGGCCUUUAAUGGAUUUUUUGUUUUAUUAAAAAAUAAUAAAAAUGGCGACAAGUGAACCCAAAACUUGUUUUCUGUUUAUAAAUAAAAUAUCAAAUCUCCCAAAAGAAAAUAUCAUGGAAGCCCUGGAAUGGUUCUUUUGAGCAUUUGCAAGGGUUUGCUUAUUACAUCCAGGACAGCAACAAGCACAUUAAACAAACUCAUUGAAAAUACAGAAGUUACAUAGCUAGUAUUUACAUAGGCAUUAGAAUGAUACUUGGCAAUCUCACAAAAUAAAUCAUUUAAAGCUAAAGGAUCAGUUCAAUGGUAACCUGCAAGCACAUUGUGUCACAAACAGCAGCAGAUCCACAAUUACCAUCAUCUCCAGCUUUGACCAAUCUGGGAAGAAGAUUUCUAAAAUACCCAUCCCAGAUCUUCUUGUUAAUAUUGAUUGAACCAGCACAGGGAUGGAGGAUCUGCGGGUGCUGCAAGCAUGGGAACAUUGAUUUUGGUAAGUGUUCCGGGAAGUAUGGAUGCUCAUCUAGACUUUUGUAGCGGCCCAUCUGAGCGUGGAGCUUUUCAGUUUCUCUAACAAUAUACUCAACCAUUGACACCCGAAAACCUUUCAUGGGGAAUGCAUCAGGGUCAUAUGUGUCUGCAUUAUAAUCAUACUGAGCCCUCAACAAAAGGCUAAAUAUUAUGCUAUCCUCUUGUUGAAUUAAAGAAUGCCUUAUAUUUUCUAGGCUCAAGCUCUGGCUUUCAUCCACCUGACCCUUUGAAUAUCUAAUGGGAAAUGAUGAUAAGGCUUGAAGAUGGGAAUAGCCAUUAGCUUUAGAUUUCAAAUAAAGAAAUCUAAGGUUCUUCUGGUGGUUGUGAAGCAAAUUUAAAGAGGGUUUGAAGGAACAUGUAGACUUGGGGCUUGAAACAGAAGCACAAACAACAUUCAAUAGCAUUGCCCCCAUUGAUGAAGAAUGAGAAGAGAAAAGAUAGAAGGUGAGCAAAGAGAGAGGAAAGCAAUGGCAAAAGGCAAAAACAAAGACAACAAAUGUACUAGAGAAAAGAGAAACAGCCAAAAAAAUUACAUGCGUUACGUGAAGGAAGCUUCAUUAGCUGUUUGAAAGAGGAACAAGAAUCUUGAAAAGCACACGCAAGCAUGGUAACGUUACUCUUAAUGACUCAUACAAAGUACAAAUAAAUGAUAAAACGCAUUACAUUGAGAAAAUGCGUGUAUUUGAAUGGUAUGCUAGUUUCGUGACCUAACGGGAAAAAGGUGAAGAGGCUCAAAGAAAGAGAUUAUUUAGCACUAGAUUUCAAGUUAAGAAAUCUAAGGGUUCUUUGGAAAUU
rnacentral:misc_RNA from 1 species